GCGGGUCGGACCCGACCCAACCCCAAUUGACAAAAAUAACUAACACGCUAGAAACCCUAAAUCAAAACAAAAUCGUCGCCCCCUUUUGAACUUUUCCCUUCAAACGAUCGCUCAAAACCAAAUGAACAAUGAAGCUCCAACAAUGGCGGGUGCGCUCCCUCACAAAUAAAAAAAACCAAAUCAAACAUUCCUUAACCCAAACAAACAGAUCGACCACGAUUCAGAAGGCGACGGUGGCCAUCCAACCGCAUCGUUUCCCUCACGAAAGAGACGGUGGUCACCCAUAAAGGAGACAACGUCACCCAACCACAACACCUCUCUCUCUCUCUCUCUCUCUCCCUCCAUCACAGAUACAUAGUGCCUCCCUCUCUCACGGAUUCAUAGCACCUCCCCACGAAGGUGGCGAUGGCCAACCACCAGUGACUUCGUGAUUCCUUCCACUUACAAGAAGCCAACAUACCGGGAACGACAGUUUUUUGAAGAUCCAAGCAUAUUUAGGAGAGCAACUUAAACAGGUUCUGAAGAUUAAAACUUGUUUUUUUUUUAAAUAAGGCAUCGAGUAUUGAUUUGAGAACUACUCAUUUGGUUUCGGCAAACAAACAUUUCAGUUCAACAAUAGCCAGUCUCCGCCAUAUGAAAUACGAUUCGACAAUGUAUAUAAAAAGGUGAAAUGGAAAUACCCCAUAAAUAACGGUCUUGCGCGAUUCAGAUAGAGGCGUGCGGAUCCUUCUGGACGCGUUAGUAUGAGCGGUGUCUCCUGAAAUGUUUUCAUCUUAGAGAACAUAUCCUCGCACUUGCUUGUCCAUUCAAACUUAUCCUGCUUUUUUCAGAGGGGCAUGACACACCACAAGCGUACAACAAUAUCGAAGUAAUAAAAUUAUUAUCGUCCAUAAAGACCUAUUUGAGUAACGAGUUCUAUUAUUUCUAUAUUUAUCUAAGACGAUCAAUUGGAGUAGUUUUGAGAACAAUUUUGAUUGAUUUUUUUAGUUAAAGUAUAAUUUAUAAAGAAA